GGGGAUGUGACGGAACUGGCAGACGUGCGGGUCUCAAAAACCCGUGGGGUUCCCCCCGUGUGGGUUCGACUCCCACCAUCCCCACCA
rnacentral:tRNA from 1 species